GGAAUCUUCCGCAAUGGACGAAAGUCUGACGGAGCAACGCCGCGUGAGUGAUGAAGGUUUUCGGAUCGUAAAGCUCUGUUGUUAGGGAAGAACAAGUACCGUUCGAAUAGGGCGGUACCUUGACGGUACCUAACCAGAAAGCCACGGCUAACUACGUGCCAGCAGCCGCGGUAAUACGUAGGUGGCAAGCGUUGUCCGGAAGUAUUGGGCGUAAAGGGCUCGCAGGCGGUUUCUUAAGUCUGAUGGGAAAGCCCCCGGCUCAACCGGGGAGGGUCAUUGGAAACUGGGAAACUUGAGUGCAGAAGAGGAGAGUGGAAUUCCACGUGUAGCGGUGAAAUGCGUAGAGAUGUGGAGGAACACCAGUGGCGAAGGCGACUCUCUGGUCUGUAACUGACGCUGAGGAGCGAAAGCGUGGGGAGCGAACAGGA
rnacentral:misc_RNA from 1 species